rnacentral:rRNA from 1 species
CGGACGGGUGAGUAACGCGUGAGAAUCUGCCCUCAGGAGGGGGAUAACAGUUGGAAACGACUGCUAAUACCCCAUAUGCCGAGAGGUGAAACGAAUUUCGCCUGGGGAUGAGCUCGCGUCUGAUUAGCUUGUUGGUGGGGUAAUGGCUUACCAAGGCUUCGAUCAGUAGCUGGUCUGAGAGGACGAUCAGCCACACUGGGACUGAGACACGGCCCAGACUCCUACGGGAGGCAGCAGUGGGGAAUUUUCCGCAAUGGGUGCAAGCCUGACGGAGCAACGCCGCGUGAGGGAUGGAGGCCUUUGGGCUGUAAACCUCUUUUCUCAAGGAAGAAGAUCUGACGGUACUUGAGGAAUAAGCCACGGCUAAUUCCGUGCCAGCAGCCGCGGUAAUACGGGAGUGGCAAGCGUUAUCCGGAAUUAUUGGGCGUAAAGCGUCCGCAGGCGGCCGUUUAAGUCUGUUGUUAAAUCGUGGAGCUCAACUCCAUCACGGCAAUGGAAACUGUUCGGCUUGAGUAUGGUAGAGGCAGAGGGAAUUUCCGGUGUAGCGGUGAAAUGCGUAGAUAUCGGGAAGAACACCAGUGGCAAAAGCGCUCUGCUGGGCCAUUACUGACGCUCAUGGACGAAAGCCAGGGGAGCGAAAGGGAUUAGAUACCCCAGUAGUC